AAAAAUGUUGACAUUAAUAACAAUAUAAUAACCUCAAAGCAAGUUUGUUUUGCAAAAGAAAUCAAUCAACAUAAAUACGUUUAGACAUUAUUUUGCUUGGAUACGUGUUAAUUAUUUUGUACGUUGUACGGUUAUUGCCGUUGCCAUGUGGUUUAGAAAAUACAUGUAUAGUAUUAUCUGGAGAAUUUGGAGAAUGUCUCACUCCCCAAAAAAACUCCAAAGGACUUCAACUCCCCCAAAGGUAAUAAAAACCUAAUAAGGGAAACUCUGGCUCGGAUUCAUCGAACUGAAUUGAAUACCCAACAUGACCAGGCAUUAUUUGAAUUGAGAAUGGAGAGAGAAAAAGUUUUAGU